UGCGUAGGUGGUUUUUUAAGUCCGUUGUGAAAUCCCUGGGCUCAACCUGGGAAUGGCAGUGGAUACUGGAAAGCUGGAGUGCGGUAGAGGGUAGUGGAAUUCCCGGUGUAGCAGUGAAAUGCGCAGAGAUCGGGAGGAACACCAGUGGCGAAGGCGGCUACCUGGACCAGCACUGACACUGAGGCACGAAAGCGUGGGGAGCAAACAGGAUUAGAUACCCUGGUAGUCCACGCCCUAAACGAUGCGAACUGGACGUUGGGUGCAACUUGGCACUCAGUGUCGAAGCUAACGCGUUAAGUUCGCCGCCUGGGGAGUACGGUCGCAAGACUGAA
rnacentral:rRNA from 1 species